rnacentral:rRNA from 1 species
CGAGCGAUGAUCCAACGAUAGCAAUAUUGGAGGGGAUUAGCGGCGAACGGGUGAGUAACACGUAGGAAUCUGCCCUGAAGUUCGGAGUAGCCCGGUGAGAGUCGGGAUAAUACCGGAUGUGAUCUUCGGAUUAAAGGCUUCGGCCGCUUCAGGAUGAGCCUGCGCUCCAUCAGCUUGUUGGUAGGGUAAAAGCCUACCAAGGCGAGGACGGAUAGCUGGUCUGAGAGGACGGCCAGCCACAAUGGAACUGAGACACGGUCCAUACACCUACGGGUGGCAGCAGUCGAGAAUCAUUCACAAUGGGCGAAAGCCUGAUGGUGCGACGCCGCGUGGGGGAUGAAGGCCUUCGGGUCGUAAACCCCUGUCGGUUGCGAGUAAGGCCCGGCUUACGUCGGGAUUGAUAUUAGCAACAAAGGAAGGGGCGGCUAACUCCGUGCCAGCAGCCGCGGUAAUACGGAGGCCCCAAGCGUUGUUCGGAUUUACUGGGCGUAAAGCGUGCGUAGGCGGCGAGGUAAGUUUGGCGUGAAAGCCCCGGGCCCAACCCGGGAAAUGCGCUGAAAACUACUUCACUAGAGGUGUGGAGGGGAGUCUGGAAUUCCUGGUGUAGCAGUGAAAUGCGUAGAUAUCAGGAGGAACAUCAGUGGCGAAGGCGAGACUCUGGAAACAUUCUGACGCUGAGGUACGAAGGCUAGGGUAGCGAAGAGGAUUAGAUACCCUCGUAGUCCUAGCAGUAAACGGUGUGCACUUGCUGUGGGGGGAUUCGACCCCUUCCGUGGCGAAGCUAACGCAUUAAGUGCACCGCCUGGGGAGUACGGCCGCAAGGUUAAAACUCAAGAAAUUGACGGGGGCCUGCACAAGCGGUGGAGCAUGUGCUUACUUCGAUGCAACGCGAAGACCUUACCUGGGCUUGACAUGUUUGUCGUACCUGGGUGAAAGCUCGGGGUCAGUUCGGCUGGACAA